AGUCUACAGUUCUGUUGCUGUUUCCAGUUUAUUUACUGGAAUAUUUAUUUAUUAUUUUAAUAAUAAUUGUUAUUAUUUAAUUAUUUGUUUAUAUUUUAAUUUAAGUUGUUAGUUAUUAUUUCUCAAUUUCUCAAAAUCAGGACGCGAUACUCAAGGAGUUGAAAUUAGUAAAAGAAAGUAACAUUGACGUUAUAGCAAAAUUCCACACACUCAUGAACAUGAUGGAAAAGAGAAGCGAUACAGCAGUUUCUGAUAACUGCUUUCCCAUCAAGACGUUUGAAGAAUUGGGGAAUAUGGACGCACUUUGUGCAACUAAAAGUGCUCAAUAUGCUAAAUUAAUAAAAUCCAUUAUUCAACCGGAGGGAAUAAAA